UUACAGCCUUGCUGAAUUAUUCACCCUUGUCUUUUGCGUACUUCUUGUUUCCUUGGUGGGUUCGCCCACCACUAGGACAAACAUAAACCUUUUGUAAUUGCAAUCAGCGUCAGUAACAAAUUAAUAAUUACAACUUUCAACAACGGAUCUCUUGGUUCUGGCAUCGAUGAAGAACGCAGCGAAAUGCGAUAAGUAGUGUGAAUUGCAGAAUUCAGUGAAUCAUCGAAUCUUUGAACGCACAUUGCGCCCUUUGGUAUUCCAAAGGGCAUGCCUGUUCGAGCGUCAUUUGUACCCUCAAGCUUUGCUUGGUGUUGGGCGUCUUGUCUCUAGCUUUGCUGGAGACUCGCCUUAAAGUAAUUGGCAGCCGGCCUACUGGUUUCGGAGCGCAGCACAAGUCGCACUCUCUAUCAGCAAAGGUCUAGCAUCCAUUAAGCCUUUUUUUCAACUUUUGACCUCGGAUCAGGUAGGGAUACCCGCUGAACUUAAGCAUAUCA
rnacentral:rRNA from 1 species